UUAAUACUCCCUCCGUCCCAAAAUUCUUGUUUUAGAUUUGUCUAGAUACGGAUGUAUCUAACACUAAAAUGUAAUUAGAUACAUCCGUAUUUAGGCAAAUCUAAGACAAGAAUUUUAGGACGGAGGGAGUACAUG
rnacentral:pre_miRNA from 1 species